GUACGAAGUUAGCGCGCGCAGCUGAAGCCGUUCCGCUGUCUAACGCUAGGAGCCCAAACGGAGGCGGCGCUCAGCCUCAAAGCGACCAGAGCGGCUUAGCGCGCGCACACGUUCAACCAUUCCCCGCUCCUUCUACUUUUAUUAUAGUUAAGAGAUCCGAGCAGAUUCGAGCUCAGGCGGAGAGAUCGGAGGUCCCACUGCGAGCGUGUGUGUGUGUGUGUGUGUGUGUGUGGGCGCGCGCGCGCGCGCGCGUGUGUGUGUUUAUUGGAAGAGAGAGCAGCGCCUGUUUAUUUGAGCAAAGUGUUUUAACACGAGGACGCAUCAUCACUCCGGCAUAAAAGGAGACCAAAGCAUGAAGCCAGCGGCAGCGUUUUACAGAUCGAAGAUGCUCUUCUUGAUCACGAUAGUGAUGAUCGCACCGGGGAAAGCUUAACUCCUCCAUUCCUCCUUCUCUUGACCUCAUCACCCCUCUCUCUCCAGCCUUGAUGGGAGGGCUUCUGGAGCAGGAGACAAUUUAGGGCUGGUAUUAGCGGAGGUCUGUCCUCUGCCCUGGCCUCGCUGCUUUUAAUGACCUAAAGUCCAGCGAACUCCCCUCACGCCUCUCACACGUCACUUCACCCUGCUGACCCCUCUCAGAGCACACCAUUACUGCUGAGCAUGGGGGGAAAUUCUGGAACAAUCCACUAGACCCACACUAGAACAUUUUACAGCGUAUAAGCCUUAAUUCUGAUGUGUGUUUGACCUUGUUUUCGAUGUAGUGCAUAUUGGUAUGCUGAGUUCAGUGCUGAGGGAAUGACUAUGAGACAAAGAUUACAUUUUUAUUUGUAUGUCUGUAGUCUUUAUGACACUCCAGUCCACUGCUCUUAUUUGCUGUCUUUCAGACAGACCAGUAAUGUGAACAGUUUCAGUUCAAAACACAGUAUAUACAACUUUAGAAAUUUUGUUAAUUUUUUUUUAAUUUAAGACCUGUAGUAUUUAUUAUUCAAGUAUUAAAAACAAUAUUACACAAGUUUAUAUUGUUUUUUUUGUUUGUUUUUAAAAAAAUUUUAUUUAAGCACAGGCAUGCUGAAAAUAAAUGUAUUGAAAUAUAUUGCUAACACUUUUUUUUCAGAUACUAAGGAAUAUUUAGACAAAAUGUGAUUUAUCUAUCAGAAACAAUUGACAUAAUCUCAUGGUUCAAUAGUAGCUACUGGAAUUUCAACAAUGUAACUGUGAAAUAAGACAUAAAAUAAAAAUAAUAAAACAUCUUACAUUAAAUACUGGGAAAAAAUUACAUUAUGUACAUUAACUACAGAAUAUUAAACAAUAUAAAUGUAUAAAAUGUACAGAUUAUCUGUAUGAUAAUACAUUAUUAUGUGUUUUGAAACAAUGAUUAAUAACAAUUAUACAUAAUCCCAAUGAUUUAAAAAAAUGUUGUGAAUUUUUUUGUAGAUUAAAAAGGUUUUAAUGUAAUGUUUAUGUUAAUGUUUGUGUGUUUUGCACAGAACAUUAAUUCCAACUGAAUAGGGAACAGAUGUACCAGAACAAAAUUUUUAAACCCCUUGAUGUUUAUAAUGCAAUCAGCCAUAAUGAGCACAUAUUCACUCACCGGCCACUUUAAAAUGAAAACCUUUACACCUGCUCAUAAAAAACCCCAACAAACCAAAAAAACAAAGAACAAACGAACAAAUAAAAAAUGGUCUUUUUCCAAUCUUCACCUGCUCAGUUUUGGUGAGUCUGUGCCCAGCCUCAGAUUCGUGUUCUUGGAGUGGAACCUGAUGUGGUUUUAUGCUGUUAUAGAUCGUCCACCUCAAUGUUCGUCAUGUGUAUUUUGUGUUGCUUUUCUUAUUACUGUGGUUGUAAAGAGUGGUUAUUUUGAGUUACUAUGGAUUUCCUGUGUGCUCGAACCAGUCUGAGCAUUCUCCUAUGACCUCUUCUAUCAGUGAGGUGUUUCUGCCUAUUGAACUACUGCUCACUGGAUGUUUUUCUGUUUUUCGUAUCAUUCUGCAUAAACUGUUGUGCAUGUAAAUCCCAUGGGAUUUUUGAAAUACUCAAACCAGCCUGUUUGGCACCAACAACCAUGCCUCAGUCCCAGUCACUGAGAUCACAUUUUUCCCAUUCUGAUGUAUAAUGUGAACAUUAACUGAAGCUCUUGACCUGUAUCUGCAUGAUUUUAUGCAUUUGUGCUGGUGCCACAUAAUAGGCUAAUCGGAUAAUUGCAUGAAUGAGCAGGUGUUCAGGUAUUUCUAAUAAAGUGGACGGUUGUAUUUCAUGAUCCAUGAGCUUUCAGUUCCACUGUUAAACACACAAAAUGAGACUCUGGGGUUUAACAUGGUUCAGAAACAAACUCUUCCUAUGCUAUUUGUUAAAUCUGCUAUCAGACAUUUGCCAGUGGAAACGCAUAAUAGAAUGAAUGUUUCUGUUUGACAGCUCUGAAUACAGUUUUUCACGUUUGGCAGAGAACAAUUGAUAUGCUCAUUCUGUGACUUAUGUUUCUCAGCUCUCACUUUUAUAUGUUUUUCUGUAUGAAUAGAAUAUUAGUUGCUGUGAGAUGUGGUUUCUAUGUCCUGUUAUCUAUACCACCUUGACCUUCCAUGUGGAAUAUACUAUUGUAAUAUAACUCAUGCUAUUCCUUGCAGAGGUUAUGUAUGUAUUUAUUUAUAAAAAAACAACAACCCAUAUCUCCUGAUGAAAGCAGUAUGUCGUAGGUAUGGUGUUCUGAAUGGCCCAUACUGAAGGGCAAUCCCAUGCGCAAUCAUUGUCCAUGCUAAUGAAUGGCUAUAGAAGGGAAUGAGUCUCUUUUGUAAGCACUUUCGCUGUACAUAAAUACAACCAUUUUGUUCUUUGGUCUCAUAAAGUCUAAUUCAUUAUCUUGUCCAAAUGUUAUAACAUAUGCAGUAUCAUAAAUAGAUCAUAGCCACCACUGAACCAUUUUAAUCAAUUGGUGUAAGGGUUUUACAGAAAGAGAGAUAAAAUAGCAGUAGAGAAGAUUGCAAGAGGUUGUCCUUAUUAUUAUUAUUAUUUUUAAAAAGUACCCUUAUUUAAAAAAAGGCACCCUGUGGUCCAGUACUUUUAAUGUCUUCUACAAAGUAUCCACCAGUGCAUACUAUAGUUGUAAUAAAGGUGUUAACAUAAUAAAGUAUUUUUCAUAUUUCUUUCUUUUUUAUGUCCUCAGAAAAUGAAGUUGAGGACAAAUACCUUGCUGUGUUUAUUCUGGUUUGCUGACACUAUUUAUAUUAACUGGUUCCAACUGAAGCUAAAGAACAAAAGAAGAAAUACCAUGCGGAAACUGUGGUCUAGGUUCGAUUUUAGUGCCUUAAUCAGGCAUCAUCUUGAGUAUUCUGCUAUUUAAUAGAUCUUGGGUUCUCUGUUUCCAGGCAGCAAUCCCACUGGAAGGGAGUAAAACAUUUGCAAGGCUGUGCAAAUAAUAUGUUCUGUUUAACUGUAUUUUUGAACUGAUGAAUGUUAUAGUGCCUCUGAGAGCUGGAUCUCGAAAGUCUUAGUUUACUAUGAUGAGAUUGUAGUGCUUCUUCGUGUAAUAGCACUGCUUCAAUUUCAGUAUGAGUGUCAGCGUUUGACCUUUAAGUUGGAUUCAAGAGGCUGUAAAUUCCAUCAGAAUGAGAAAAGUGGAGCUGGUGGCUGAUGAGAACGAGGAAACCUGGGGCCUAGGAAACUCCAUUCAUCUCUCAGGAACUGUUCAUUUAAACAAAGCUGAGAUUGCAACAAACUGAAUGAAUUCUGUUCAUCAAAAACCUGACAGAGGUUAUAUGCUGAAAAUUCCUCAUCAUCUUCAGCUUUAUACUGAUCAGAGUUGUGAUGGAUCCCGAGUCUGUCCUAGGUGGAAACACACCAUGGAUGGGACGCCAGUACAUUUUAAGGAACCAUGCAUGCACACUUGCUCGGUCAUUCACACCCAGGGGCAAUUUAGAGUAGCCAAUCCACCUACUAGCAUGUUUUUGGGAUGUGGAAGGAAACCAGAGAACCCGAUGGAAACCUUUGACAGGGGGAGAACAUGCCCAGUGAAUCCACACAGAUGGUAACCAGAGCUCAGGAUAGACCUGAGACCCUGGAGAUGUGAGGCGGCAUCGUUACCUGCUGAACCACCGUGCCAAGCCACCAUGUUGUUCCAUGCUGAAUUACACAUGUCACAUGGUCCUUAUUGAAAAUGGACAAUUAUUAAUUAUUAUUGCUUUGCAAAAUUGUUAAAACUAGCAUUGUGUAAGGUUAUUCUAAUUCCUGAUUAACCAAUAAAAGCACUGUUAUUGAACUACUGAAGUCACUUCUUGGGUAUUUCUUAUACUUUACACCAGAUGAAGACAGUGAAAAACAAGAAAAAGAAAAGCCACACCUUUUAAUAUUUUAAUGCAGAGCACGUCACUGUUGUGAUUUCCAAAUUAGACAUGUGCAUCUGGAUUUUUUUCCCUCUAGCGCUUAACCAAAUAUCUGUUUAUUAACUUUGAAUAUUUGAAUAAUAAAAUUAGGCAGAUGGCACAUUCCCCAACACAUUUAAAAUGUAUGAAAUUGUCCAUGUUAUUUGUAUGAUAAUGCACUAUCAUGUAUAAUACAUUCCAUAAAUUGCCUAUUCUGGCUAAUCUGUGAACUACAAUUUUUGUUCUUUCAUCCCAACGUGUAGAGCUUUGCUUUUGUACUGUAUAUAUGUUUUCAGUGAAGAAUCAUUCCUGAGGACAUUCAUUAUAUGCCUUUACACAUAGUGUAUAUGUGCGUUGAGUGAAAAUAUGGCGUUUACCGUAAGUGCUGAAGAUGCAGUAUGGUUGUUUUGUUGACUUAAAGCAGCAGGAGCCUCGGUAUGCAAUAAAAAGUGCUGAGACAGAAUUUUGAAUAUGAAACAAUGGUUAAUAUAUCACCUGCCACUAGCCUAUAAAUACUUGUCCCCAGCGCACUCCAUAUGCAAAGCAGUAUGCAGGUAUUUUGUCAAAGCCAGUGUGGAAAUAUCUACAAAUUAGACAUGGAGGAGACCUGGGAGUCAGCAGGGUGCUGACACAGUGUGGAAAUCAUCACACUGCAUACAAAAGUCUGUCGUAUAUUUAUGGCAUGGCUUUUUUGUAACACUGACCAGGUGUGAGACCAAAAUACUGAUGUAGACACGGUACAAGUAUCCGACUGUCUAGCAAGUCCCUGUGCAGCAGUGUAGGCCUGUCAUAAUUGAGCUAAACCUUUUAACAUGAUUUAUACCAUAUAUUAGUGUCUGUGCUCUGCGGAUCUAUACUACAGAUAGAAAAUAGUGACAAUACACAGUAGGGUUUGCACAGCUGCUACUUUUUCCUUGUUGACCAGUAAUUCCAAAAAGGAGUUAACAAAUUCCUUUUCUAUAGACAAAACAAAAAUCAAUUCAGAAUGUCAACAAAUGUAAAUCAGUGCAAUAAAUGUGCAAAAUAAAAAAAUCAUAUAGCACCAUUUAAGGAUGUACCAAUUCUUAAAAUGCAUGCACUUGUGCAUGUGGAUGAGUUGGCAGCCUAUAUGAAAUUACUGAUUGUAAAACUGAGAGCUUGUCGCAUAGAAGCUCCUCAUACUGUAGCUUAAUUAUGAAUGGAGGAUGCAAUAUCUACACCGGUGUCUGGUUAUUCCACCAUGUAGAAUCUGAAAACGAGUUUGGAUUGGCCUCUAUGAAGCCUCUAUGAGACUCUGUUGAGCUGACUCCAAACUAGAUGUGUGGGAUUUGAUAGUGAUGCGCAACCCGUGGCUUCAAAUGCUCUCUUGCAUACUGUGCUGGUCGCAGUAUAAUUCACUAUAGCACUAUGUAAUGAUUCUUUUUAAAUUUGUUAAAGGACAACAAAUAUAACUGCAGGGGGACUUCCUUUGGGAGCGGGCAGGAGUGGGAUUUUUAAAAAAUGCCUCAAACCUCUCAUGCCUCAUACCUCUUCACUUCAUGCAAAGUGAUAUCAAAUUGUUAAAGUCCACCAUCCUGACUAGUCGACAUCCCCACGGACAUAACCAGUGAAUGUAUUAUUCGACUAGUCUACGCAACCCCUAGCACACAGUACAUAAUAUAUAGGUAUACUGCAUCACACUCAUUGUUAUAUCAUCACUUAAGUACAGUAAAAAUAAUAUUUUCCCACUACAGCAUUUGGUCUCAACACAGACUCUUUUUUUUUUAAUUCAAUAAAAGACUUGCUUCCAUGCAAUGCCUGCAUCUAACUGCAUACAAAGGGCCAAGUUAUCUUUGUAUUUCAUGCUACAUUUAUUGUCAUCUGGCAGACAGCCCAAUUAACCCUCAGCGCAGUGGUAAAGGGAGGACAGAGCGGAAUAAUGGCUGUUUUUACACACUAGCAUCCAAACAGCAAUUAGCCUGCAUUUCAUGCCACAUUGGCCCCAUGUUUUUGCCAAGGUGGAGCACUCCGGGGGUGUGCGACCCACCCAAAUCGAGGGACAAACAGCCCCAUCAAUUUCACAUUAUAGUGUCAUUUGUCCAGAAAUGCAGCCUGUCUCCUCUCUUCCUUUUUCUUUUCAUGUGUGACCCUUUCCCUGUUAUAGAAGAGGAGAAAGUGUCUGUAUUAUCUUCUGAAAUGAGACUUUUCUUUCUGUUUACUGCCGUUAUUAGGGAUCUUUUUUUUUUUUUUUUUUUUCAGUUCAUUCAAUGGGGUCAUUUUGUGCAUCAAGCCAUUUUGUCCACUUUGAGCAUUAUGCAUAAUUGAGAGAACAGUACAUUUACUUAACAACUACAUAGAGGGGAUAAAAACCCUUUUCAAUAUUACUUUACCAUCAUGUUUGUAAAACCAGGAGCAAAUUAUUUUCAAUUGUUCCCAUUUAUGGCUUGAGGCUGAGUAAGUUGACAUCAGAGUGCUCAGUGUCAGAAGCUGAGGUUGCACUGGCUCAGUGACUUUCAAGGUAAACUCUGGCUAUUGAUCUUCGCCUGAAGAUACGACUCCAUGCUGAAGGGAUUAAGCUGGCCAUUAGAACCAAUGGGAGAAAUGUUGACUGGGGGUUAGCUAUCAUCCUCAGCCUACAACACUUACCAACACAAUGUAGACAAUAAUAUUAUAAUGGUAAUAGUAAUAAUGGGUAUAAUAUAUAGUAUAAUGUAUAAUGUCACACUCCUCUCAGCUUGCACUGUAAAAAAAUGGUCAUGUACUUUAAGAGAGUCAUUGGGUCACAGUGGGUUCUGAAUACCACAGGAAAAAACAACAAGCUAGAUGGGUUCUUUAAUUAAAAUAUCAGGCUUGAUAAAACAAGGUAGCUACCUAGCUAGGCAAAAAGCAAUGUUUUAUUUUAUUUAUUUAUUUUUUUGUAAGAAAGGAAUAAAGGAAUAACUUAAAGGAAUUGCUUUUGGUGAUUAUUAUACAAUAACAUUAACAAUGCUGUAUGUUUACUGUUUUAUUACAGUGUAGUUACAGCAGUGUUACAGUACAUUAGCUGCAAGGUGCUUUGAUACAGUAUAAUAUCCCAGUACUGUAAAUACACAGUAUGGCCAAAGGUUUGUCCAUAACACUUUAUGUGCUUGUUGAACAUCCCAUUCCAGACGUAAUCCCCGUUAUUUGUUAUAAUAACCUCCACUCUUCUUGGAUGGCUUCCACUAGAUUUUGGAGCAUGGCUGUGGAGAUUUGCACAAGAGCACUGAUGUUGGGUGAGGCGGUCUGGGGUGCAGUCAGUGUUCUAGUUUAUCCUAAAUGUGUUCAGUGGGGUUGAGGUCAGGGCUGUGUGCAGGCCACUUGAGUUCUUCUACUCCAACCCUGGCAAACCAUGUCUUCAUGGACAUUGCCUUAUGCACAGGGGCAUUGCCAUGCUGGAACAGGUUUAGGCCUCUUAGUUCCAGUGAAGGGAAAUUUUAAUGCUACAGCAUACAAAGACAAUAGUUUGCUUCCAACUUUGUGGUAACAGUUUGGGGAAGACCCACAUAUGGGUGCUGGUCAAUAGUCCAUCUUCCCAGAAUAACAGACAGGCUACAGUAAAAGAUGUGUAAAGUAUAAUACCAGUUUUAACACAGUGUUUUAUUGUAUAAAUUCCAUACACUCUUUAAAGUGUGCUCUUUUUAGAAACCCGGUUUCUGUGUUGAUGGAAAACAACAUCUACAUACUAUAUAGACAUUAAUUAAGACUAAGAUGAAUUAUUAUUUGCUCACACUCUUGGGGUUUUAUAUUAUCCACCACUGAGCAGGGAAGCACUUAUGGGAGUCCUGUAAUUUAUUCGCAGGUGAGAGGAAAUCAAUCAGCUUGGAUACAGACAACAGCUGACAGAUCCAUGACAGUCCCAAAGGUGUGGAGCGAGAUUGUCACUUCGGAAAACAGCCAAUGCCUUACAUGCCCUAAAUAACCCAAAUUGAGUCAUGUCACCCCCCCCCCCCCCCCCAAUACUCUUGGCCCAUCAAUAUCCUACCAAGUACUGCAACAUGUGGCAAAGACCUGCCAGCUAACCCUACUGAGAAACAGUUAAUAGUAGUUACUGUAAAUCUAGCCUUGAUAAAGUCUUCAGUUCUUCAUUGUAAAUUAGUCUCCAUAAACCGUAUCAUAUAUUGCACAGCGAUGAACCAUUAUAAAUGAAUUAACAGCAUUUGCUGUAAUUAAUGCAAUUACUACAUGAUUAUACUGUUUAACAAGAAAGGAGACUGAAUCUAUUAUGAACCCAAUUUAUUUUUUGAGAAGAGCGUGCUGUAUAUUUGUGUAGUUGUUAUGUACAGGAAGACGUUAUGUUACGUACAGACAGACAGGUUUACAGAUGUUAGAGAUCAAUGUUAAUGUUUAUACUUUCUUUUCCCUUAAGGUAUUUUCUUUUAUAUAUAAAUAUAAGUUUUAGGCACCUUAUUUUUGUAGUACAAACUUUGUUAUGGAUUUUUUAAUUUAGUUUUCUAGCACAAAAUUAAAUGUUACAGAAAAAUGUGUGUAUGUCAGGACAGAAAGCAGCAUAAUUACGUAAGAGAACACUUUUCAGACAAAAAACAUAAUGAAGG
ensembl:lncRNA